CGGACGGGUGAGUAACGCGUGGAAAACCUGCCGUAUACUGGGGGAUAACACUUAGAAAUAGGUGCUAAUACCGCAUAAGCGCACAGCUUCGCAUGAAGCGGUGUGAAAAACUCUGGUGGUAUACGAUGGUUCCGCGUCUGAUUAGCUAGUUGGUAGGGUAAUGGCCUACCAAGGCAACGAUCAGUAGCCGGCCUGAGAGGGUGAACGGCCACAUUGGGACUGAGACACGGCCCAAACUCCUACGGAAGGCAGCAG
rnacentral:rRNA from 1 species